rnacentral:rRNA from 1 species
UACGUAGGGGGCAAGCGUUGUCCGGAAUCAUUGGGCGUAAAGCGCGCGUAGGCGGCUCGAUCAGUCUGCUGUAAAAGUCAAAGGCUCAACCUUUGAAUGCCGGUGGAUACUGUCGAGCUAGAGUCCGGAAGAGGCGAGUGGAAUUCCUGGUGUAGCGGUGGAAUGCGCAGAUAUCAGGAGGAACACCAACGGCGAAGGCAGCUCGCUGGGACGGUACUGACGCUGAGGCGCGAAAGCCAGGGGAGCAAACGGG